rnacentral:rRNA from 1 species
UGGGGAAUAUUGGACAAUGGGCGCAAGCCUGAUCCAGCCAUGCCGCGUGAGUGAUGAAGGCCUUAGGGUUGUAAAGCUCUUUCGGCGGGGAAGAUAAUGACGGUACCCGCAGAAGAAGCCCCGGCUAACUUCGUGCCAGCAGCCGCGGUAAUACGAAGGGGGUUAGCGUUGCUCGGAAUCACUGGGCGUAAAGCGCACGUAGGCGGAUUGUUAAGUCAGGGGUGAAAUCCUGGAGCUCAACUCCAGAACUGCCUUUGAUACUGGCGAUCUUGAGUCCGGGAGAGGUGAGUGGAAUUGCGAGUGUAGAGGUGAAAUUCGUAGAUAUUCGCAAGAACACCAGUGGCGAAGGCGGCUCACUGGCCCGGUACUGACGCUGAGGUGCGAAAGCGUGGGGAGCAAACA